rnacentral:rRNA from 1 species
AUUGAACGCUGGCGGAAUGCUUUACACAUGCAAGUCGAACGGCAGCACGAGAGCUUGCUCUUGGUGGCGAGUGGCGAACGGGUGAGUAAUAUAUCGGAACGUAUCCAAUAAUGGGGGAUAACUAAUCGAAAGGUUGGCUAAUACCGCAUACGCCCUACGGGGGAAAGCAGGGGAUCUUCGGACCUUGCGUUAAUGGAGCGGCUGAUAUCUGAUUAGCUAGUAGGUGAGGUAAAGGCUCACCUAGGCGACGAUCAGUAGCUGGUCUGAGAGGACGACCAGCCACACUGGAACUGAGACACGGUCCAGACUCCUACGGGAGGCAGCAGUGGGGAAUUUUGGACAAUGGGGGCAACCCUGAUCCAGCCAUUCCGCGUGAGUGAAGAAGGCCUUCGGGUUGUAAAGCUCUUUCGCAAGGGAAGAAACGAUACAGACGAAUAAUCUGUGUUAAUGACGGUACCUUGAUAAGAAGCACCGGCUAACUACGUGCCAGCAGCCGCAGUAA